AGAGGGAGCUGAGUGUUGUGUUCGCUGUUCCAGAGGGAGCUUCCCCUGGGGCGUCUCAGUUGGAUUACGAUAACGUGGAGGAGCCUGCAUUGAAUGAUGAUCCCCAGACUCCAGACGACCAAGAGGGCGAUGCCUUGCCUGGAGAUGUCCCAGGGGAUGGUUAUGACGAUGUCAGAGAAGUUUCUGACCCUGAACAUGAUCCUGGUUCAGGGCAGUGUGCCCGGGAAGUUACUUGGGCCCCUCGGAUGAAUGACAAGAACAGGGAUUCACAGAGAGAUUGGAAUCUGCACUCCCUAAGAAGUGAAGGGGCCUCAGGGACUGAGAGAGACGGCCCAUUCCUGCCUCCUGGAGACCCGGGUUAUGAUGAUGUUGAAGCUGGCAUCCCUGAGACAUCAAUAUAAGAAUGACUGAGUUCCGAUCAAAUAUCCUGUGAGGAUGUAAAUGCUGUAUGAUUAAACUCUUUCUCUCCUAAAUACUAACUGGGCAUGGAGGCAUCAGAGAUAGUCCCUGCCAUGGAUCUAGUUCAGAUACCUUUUAUAUUGGGGUUUUAUGUAGUUGCAAGAAAUAUAAGUGUGACUGAGACAGGGUCUGUGAUUUUCCCUGUAAUUUCUCAUUGAUCAGAUUGCCUGGAACUUGUCCUGCUUUUUUAUUCCUAAUAUUUUCUUCAUCGUGAAUUUUUCCUUUUUCAUAUUGAAUCCUUUUAAAAAGUUUAUUCCAGGAACGAUGCUUCUUUCACAAGGUGCAUAAGAGAUCAUAAGAGAGUGAGAUGGAGUCUGAACAACCAAAAAAUAAUAAUUGCAAAAUAUCACCUCUCGGUAUUGCAGGUUGUUCAAUAGGGUACUGGAUGGAGAAUGAACGUUCCGUCCGUUGUGUGGUAAUGGUUAAAAACCCAGCAACAGAAUAAUUCUAACUCCAGAGAUGGCCCUAACCGCCAUCCAAACUCCAGACUUUCCUUUAAAAUCCAGGAGGAUAAAUGGACAUUAUUUAUAAGAACCUUAAUGCACACACACAAUUAGAUAGCAGUUAAAAGAUACCCCCCGUCCCAUCCUCUUCUCGUCUCCUCUAUACAAAUUCAUAUACUAUGCCCAUUACUGUAGCAUCGGAGCAUCUUUCAGUGGUGCAUUAAGUGUAAGGACCUUCAUCUUUGGUUUAUACUGAUUUUUUAAUGAACAUUUGCUGAGUUUUACAAAAAUCGUUAUUCCAUUUUUAACAAUUUUUACCCAAAUUUAGAUGUGCUGGAACUCCAUCUCCCUGCUCCAGGAGAAAUGGGUGACCCAGGUUACCAAGCCACCAUCUCUCCUUCCGGAGUGGGAAGCCAAAAGCACUGGAACAACUUGAGUGGUAGUGUAUGUACUGGUGUCAAUCCCACAACCACCACACACCACAUAUAUAUUACCAACUUUACAGAUAGUGCAGAUUGUCAUCAGCAGUGAAAGCAAAAUAAAGGUAUUUAACUACUUUUUAUGAUAAAAUGG
rnacentral:lncRNA from 1 species